rnacentral:rRNA from 1 species
UACGGAGGGUGCAAGCGUUGUCCGGAAUCACUGGGCGUAAAGGGCGCGUAGGCGGCUCAUGAAGGCUGUGGUGAAAGUCCGGGGCUCAACCUCGGAUCGGCCGUGGCGACUCGUGGGCUGGAGCACUGUAGAGGCGGGUGGAAUUCCGGGUGUAGCGGUGGAAUGCGUAGAGAUCCGGAAGAACACCGGUGGCGAAGGCGGUCUGCUGGGGUGAGGCUGACGCUGAUGCGCGACAGCGUGGGGAGCAAACAGG